CGGGAUGUAGCUCAGAGGAAGAGCACCCGCUUUGGAAGCGGGAGGCCGAGAUUUCAAAAUUCUCCAUCCCGACCA
rnacentral:tRNA from 1 species